GGGUUUAUGGUCCAAUGGUAGGAUGCACCUCAAUGAAUCAAGCGAUCAUUUAGGUAUGGUUCCCGGUUCGACCCCGGGUAAGCCCU